CGAGCAGUGGCAGCAGACAUCAACUUUUAGGGGGGGGGGGCAGGGGGAAAGCUUGUGCAGGUUUUUAAUGUCCUGUGUACCAUUUGGACACCUAAACAGUGCCGUAGCAAGCUCGAUAAUUGGGGGGGGGGCUGAUAUUCAUAUAUUCGUGUUCUGUGUCAGGCCUGCAUAAUAUAGCGGACCGCGGGACCAUUGGUCCCAGAAAAUUUUUGAGGUUGGCAGAAAAAAAAUGGAGGGUAAAACUUAAAAGUCUCAAAAGAAAAAAAGUAAAGAGAAAGAAAAAAAGGAAGAAAAUGAGAAAAAAUGACAUAAUUGAAUAAAAAGCUGUAGGUAGUGAACUAUAGUGAUGUUUGCAACAUGCAAGUAAUACAAGUUUCCAAUAUACCGGUACAGGCGGCUCUCCAGCUGCCUGAUACUAUGGUCAAAGCCUGAUAUUAUGGCAGACAGCAGUCUAGCAGAUAUUAAGAUGAAAUCCUCUAUGCGG